CCUACGGGGGGCAGCAGUGGGGAAUAUUGGACAAUGGGGGGAACCCUGAUCCAGCCAUGCCGCGUGUGUGAAGAAGGCCCUCGGGUUGUAAAGCACUUUCAGUGAGGAAGAACGCCUGGUGGUUAAUACCCAUCAGGAAAGACAUCACUCACAGAAGAAGCACCGGCUAACUCCGUGCCAGCAGCCGCGGUAAUACGGAGGGUGCGAGCGUUAGUCGGAAUUACUGGGCGUAAAGCGCGCGUAGGUGGCUUGAUAAGCCGGUUGUGAAAGCCCCGGGCUCAACCUGGGAACGGCAUCCGGAACUGUCAAGCUAGAGUGCAGGAGAGGAAGGUAGAAUUCCCGGUGUAGCGGUGAAAUGCGUAGAGAUCGGGAGGAAUACCAGUGGCGAAGGCGGCCUUCUGGACUGACACUGACACUGAGGUGCGAAAGCGUGGGUAGCAAACAGGAUUAGAUACCCCUGUAGUC
rnacentral:rRNA from 1 species